GGCGGCUCUCCAACUCCAGCUUCAGCUUUUCCAGCCUCGAGAUCAGCUCAGCUGCAAAGGUGGCGGGUUCCACGGGGGUCAUCUCCUUGGGCAGGCGGAAAAUGAAGAAAGCUGCUGCAGGCUAGUAGCAGAACACUGCUGAGCUUGGCUGCCUGAAGCUGAUCUAUCAAGGGAAAAGGGAACAUCUCCAAAUACUCACCGGGAAAUGAGGUAGAGACACUUGGCCAUUGGCCUUCACACUGCGAUGCAUUUCUCUCUGGAGCUGUUUCUUACUGCCCACACGAUAAGGAGGAAUUCCAUCUCUA
rnacentral:lncRNA from 1 species